UUCAAUACUCAUGUGUAGCAUUUUUUUUAGUAUUUUAUUUUUCUUUUAGCAUUUUAUUUUCUUUUAGUAUUUUAUUUCUUUUAACAUUUUUUUGUUAUGUUUAUGCUUUAUUAUUUUCAUAGUUUCAUUAUCAUAACAUAGAUUUGUUGUCUUUUAAUUUCAUCAUUCAUUCAAAACCAUUUUUAAACUAUAAAAAUCAUAUUUUUCUCGAUUUAAUAUCGAGCCCAUUUUUCCACACCCUUGUAAGUCGA
rnacentral:lncRNA from 1 species